rnacentral:rRNA from 1 species
AUUAGGCUUCGCAAGCCUGCGGUCGGGGGUUCGGCCCUCGGCUGACGGCUCAGUAACACGCGGAUAAUCUGCCCUUAGGUGGAGGAUAAUCUCGGGAAACUGAGAAUAACACUCCAUAAGUCUAGGAUGCUGGAAUGCACUUAGGCUAAAAGCUUCGGUGCCUAAGGAUGAGUCUGUGGACUAUCAGGUUGUAGUCAGGGUAAUGACCUGACUAGCCUAUGACGGAUACGGGUUGUGAGAGCAAUAACCCGGAGAUGAUAUCUGAGACACGAUAUCAGGCCCUACGGGGCGCAGCAGGCGCGAAAACUUCGCAAUGUGCGAAAGCACGACGAGGGAAUCCCAAGUGCUGGCUCGUUAGAGUCAGCUGUUUUUAUGUCUAAAAAGCAUAGAGAGUAAGUGCUGGGUAAGACGGGUGCCAGCCGCCGCGGUAAUACCUGCAGCACGAGUGGUGGCCACUAUUAUUGGGCCUAAAACGUCCGUAGCCUGUUUAUUAAAUGCCUAGGUAAAUUGUGUGGCUUAACCAUACGAAUUCUGGGUAGACUGAUAAACUUGAGACCGGGAGAAGCUAGAGGUACUCCUGGGGUAGAGGUGAAAUUCUGUAAUCCUAGGGGGACCACCAGUGGCGAAGGCGUCUAGCUAGAACGGGUUUGACGGUGAGGGACGAAGCCCUGGGGCGCAAACGGGAUUAGAUACCCCGGUAGUCCAGGGUGUAAACGCUGCUUGCUUGAUGUUGGUUGGGCUCCGAGCCCAAUCAGUGUCGGAGAGAAGUUGUUAAGCAAGCUGCCUGGGAAGUACGAUCGCAAGACUGAAACUUAAAG